rnacentral:rRNA from 1 species
GCUUACGGCCAUACCAGCCUGGGUACGCCCGAUCUCGUCUGAUCUCGGAAGCUAAGCAGGGUCGGGCCUGGUUAGUACUUGGAUGGGAGACCGCCUGGGAAACCAGGUGCUGUAAGCA